CUGAUAAUAUAUUUGAAUGGGGCGAACAUAAAUUCCGUAUAGGUCAAUUGCAUCAAGAUACGAUAUUUUAUCAUUUUAAGUUUCUCGCGGAUAAACAUUUUGUCAUUAGAUCGUUAUACCUUGUCAGAGAAGCAAGUGCAUGGAUAGUCAAUGGUUUGAUUUUCAUAUUCUUGUAAACACAAUUGUUUUUAGCAGCUUCGGACAGUAUUGAAGAUGAUUGCAUGACAUGACGGGUGGUGGUUCUUGACGAUUACGCCACUCUGGAGAUGAUAUUUCCUU
rnacentral:lncRNA from 1 species